AACUUUUGACAAUGGAUCUCUUGGCUCUCGCAUCGAUGAAGAACGCAGCGAAAUGCGAUAAGUAAUGUGAAUUGGAGAAUUCAGUGAAUCAUCGAAUCUUUGAACGCACCUUGCGCUCUUUGGUAUUCCGAAGAGCAUGCCUGUUUGAGUGUCAUGAAAAUAUCAACCUUGACUUGGGUUUAGUGCUCUUGACUUGGCUUGGAUUUGGCUGUUUGCCGCUCGAAAGAGUCGGCUCAGCUUAAAAGUAUUAGCUGGAUCUGUCUUUGAGACUUGGAUUGCCUUGGCUUAAUAAGUUAUUUCGCUGAGGACAAUCUUCGGAUUGGCCGAGUUUCUGGGGCGUUUGUCCGCUUUCUAAUACAAGUUCUAGCUUGCUAGACAUGACUUUUUUAUUAUCUGGCCUCAAAGCAGGUAGGACUACCCGCUGAACUUAAGUAUAUCAAUAAGCGGAGGCU
rnacentral:misc_RNA from 1 species